rnacentral:rRNA from 1 species
AUUGAACGCUGGCGGCAUGCCUUACACAUGCAAGUCGAACGGUAACGCGGGGCAACCUGGCGACGAGUGGCGAACGGGUGAGUAAUGCAUCGGAACGUGCCCAGUUGUGGGGGAUAACUGCUCGAAAGAGCAGCUAAUACCGCAUACGACCUGAGGGUGAAAGCGGGGGAUCGCAAGACCUCGCGCAAUUGGAGCGGCCGAUGUCGGAUUAGCGAGUUGGUGGGGGAAAGGCCCACCAAGGCGACGAUCCGUAGCUGGUUUGAGAGGACGACCAGCCACACUGGGACUGAGACACGGCCCAUACUCCUACGGGAGGCAGCAGUGGGGAAUUUUGGACAAUGGACGCAAGUCUGAUCCAGACAUGCCGCGUGCGGGAAGAAGGCCUUCGGGUUGUAAACCGCUUUUGUCAGGGAAGAAAUCUUCUGGGUUAAUACCUCGGGAGGAUGACGGUACCUGAAGAAUAAGCACCGGCUAACUACGUGCCAGCCGCCGCAGUAAAAC